rnacentral:rRNA from 1 species
UACGUAGGGGGUUAGCGUUGUUCGGAAUUACUGGGCGUAAAGCGCGCGUAGGCGGACUAUUAAGUCAGAGGUGAAAUCCCGGGGCUCAACUCCGGAACUGCCAUUGAUACUGCAAGUCUAGAGUACAGAUGAGGUAGGCGGAAUAUAGCAUGUAGCGGUGAAAUGCUUAGAUAUGCUAUAGAACACCGAUUGCGAAGGCAGCUUACUAGACUGUUACUGACGCUAAGGCACGAAAGCGUGGGGAGCAAACGGG